GGGAUUUGUACGACACAGGAAAACGUCAGAGACUAAGCAAAUUUGAAUAGACCUCUGAGUAAAUAUUUCCCUUUUGGAGUUUUCAGGACUUUCUGUCCCGCUGUUUUAUGGGGAAGGCGGGGGAAGACACGCAGACAUCAAUUCGACUAAACAAAGUUUAUCAAUAAUAUUAAAAAUAAAAAGUAAAGCCCCUUUCUGAACAUUAUGGCUUAUUCCUUGAUUAUCCUUCUUAAUGCCACAGCGUGGCUAUCUCAGAACAAAAUUAGAGACUAACAGUAAAUUUACUUUAAUUUUUACGAAUAAUUCUCUAUCAAUGUAAAAAUUUUUCAUAUACGCGUGUAUGAAAGAAAAACACUACUAUUUUUCCACAUUCGUGAAAACUGCUUAACUGGGACAGUAACCGAGCGGCCAGUGAAUAUUUAAAAUACUGUAACCGACGAAUACGUAUGCUUCUAGGACCACGUGGAAUCUUUCCCAUGGUAGACAGGGGCUCACUUUGUCCCCUAGGCUGGAUUGCAGUGGAGCCAUCUCAGCUCACUGCAGCUUGACCUCCCAGGUUUAAGCGAUCCUCAUGCCUCUCCCCACAAUAGCUGAGACUACGGGAACCCACCACCACACCCGACUAAUUUUUGUAUUUUUUGUAGAGACAGGAUUUCACCAUGUUGCCCAGGCUGGUCUCAAAACUUCUGAAUUCAAGCAGUCCGCCCGCCUCUGCCUCACGCCUGUAAUCCCAGCACUUUGGGAGGCCCAGGUGGGAAGAUCACGAGGUCAGGAGCUUGAGACCAGCCUGGCCAACAUGGGGAAACCCCAUCUCUACUAAAAAUACGAAAAUUAGCCAGGCGUGGGGGCAGGUUCCUGUAAUCCCAGCUACUCAGGAGGCUGAGGCAGGAGUAUCGCUUGAAACCGGGAAGUGGAGGUUACAGUGAGCUGAGAUCACAUCGUUGCAGUCCAGCCUGGGUGACAGAGCAAGACUCCGUCUGAACAACAACAACAAAAAAGUUAAGUCUCCAUCCCAAAGUGAAUAUGGGUCAUAUGUUACAUGAGUUUUUGUUCAAUACGCAUGUGUCAGGACCACUUUCAUGAAUAUUCAUAGCUCUUCCUGUAACCUGGUGAAAAUGUAGGUUUAGCCAACCUGUUCAGCCUGAACUACACUCCAAGCCCUCCUCCUUCAAAGCGCCUGUUUCUGGAGGCACGCUUCCCAGCCUGCAGGAUGGCCACCUUGCAGGCCAUAAAGUCUCCCCUUCUUUUCUAAAUUUAUUCAUUGUGGGGCUUUUUAAUAUAUACAUUUUUAAAAGAGAGAGAGAGACAGAGUCUCGCUUUGUUGCCCGGGCUGGUCUCAAACUCCUAGGCUCAAGCUAUCCUUCUGCCUCAGCCUCCCAAAGUGCUGGGAUUACAGGCAUGAGCCACCGCACCCAGCCCAUUGUUGGGCUUUUUUAAGUUAACGCUUGGUAUAUGUUAUAAAUACCUUCUCCCAGGUUGACACUUGUCGUCUUUGUUUACGGUGAUUUGUUCUCUAGAUUUUAAUUUCAAUGUAGUCAAAUUUAUCAAUCUGUUGUUAUGAUAGCUGACUUGUAGCUUUCUUAAGAAAUCCUUCCCUCUCCUGAGGUCACUAAGAUUUUCAUUUUCAUUUUCAUAGUUUUAUAGUUUUGUUUUUCACAUCUUUUUUUUUCUAUUUGGCUAUUAUUGGGGUAUAGCAACACUGUGGAUUUUUGUACAGCAAUCUUGUACCAAAAACCUUGUUGAAUUCUGUUAUUCUAGUAUUUUGUCUGUGCCAGGAACAGUGGUACACACCUGUAAUCCCAGCUUCUUGAGAGGCUGAGGCAGGAGGAUUGCUUGAACCCAGGUGUUCAAGGCUAGCCUGGGCAAUAUAGCAAGAUUCUGUCUCUAAAAAAAAAAAUCAUAUUAUGGUAGAUGGAAACUAGUAUGUGAUAAAAUAAAAAUGACUUUAAAAAAAUUUGUCUAAAGUUCUUUAGGAUUUUUUAUUUAGCAGAACAUUAUGCAAA
rnacentral:lncRNA from 1 species